UACAGAGGUCUCAAGCGUUGUUCGGAUUCAUUGGGCGUAAAGGGUGUGUAGGUGGCGCGCUAAGUCGGGUGUGAAAUUUCGGAGCUUAACUCCGAAACUGCAUUCGAUACUGGCGUGCUUGAGGACUGGAGAGGAGACGUGGAAUUUACGGUGUAGCAGUGAAAUUCGUAGAUAUUCGCAAGAACACCAGUGGCGAAGGCGGACUCACUGGCCCGGUACUGACGCUGAGGUGCGAAAGCGUGGGGAGCAACAGG
rnacentral:rRNA from 1 species